rnacentral:lncRNA from 1 species
GAGGAACCUCCAAAAUGCAGACAUUCUUGGUGGCUGGGAUUCUGUGUGAUAUUCAGCGUUAAAUGCUGCUGCUCUGAGGCUGCUGGAAACGCGUUAUUGGGUUCCUGCAAGUUAUCUGGGAACUGAUCAAAGUUUCAGGUGCAUCCACUCUGGGAGAGCGUGGACCUGGUUCCUGGGGGCGAUCGCCAGUCACCCAUCAACAUUCGGUGGAGGGACAGUGUUUAUGAUCCCGGCUUAAAACCACUGACCAUCUCUUAUGACCCAGCCACCUGCCUCCACGUCUGGAAUAAUGGGUACUCUUUCCUCGUGGAAUUUGAAGAUUCUACAGAUAAAUCAGCUGCACUUAGUGCAUUGGAACGCAGUCAAAUUUGAAAACUUUGAGGAUGCAGCACUGGAAGAAAAUGGUUUGGCUGUGAUAGGAGUAUUUUUAAAGGAAAAUUCUCAGUCUCCCUUGAAGAAGUGAAGCCUCCUUCUUUAUGCACUGGCCACUGUCUAAUACCUCCCAGCAAUACUCAGAGGAGACUACCUGCUGGAACCUCACUAGAAUUGAGAGAUCAAAUGGUUUUGGCUGUUUUCCCACUGGAGAAUAUAAAAAAUACACAGUUAAUUUUAGAAACAAAGGCUGGGCAUGAUUCCAUCCUAAGCAGCAAUUCU